ACCAACAGAUGAAAUAAAACUUACUCAAGACACAAGUGCCACUAGCAGGAAAUUAAGCAUUCGUCAAAGUACUAUAUAUCACAAACAUAAGGUAUCAACGUCGUGGCAUAUCGAUGUACUAGAGUAUGCCGGACGGUAUGAAUAUGGCAUCUUCGUUUUCUACAGCGUAUGCAACAACAUCACAUACGACAGGUCCUCAAUGUACAGAUUCGACUUCAAAAUGAAAAUACAAGGUUCCUGUCUGUGGCCUGGGCCGGCUCAGGCCUCACACCAAAUUCUGCACUGUCAGAUAAACCACCCCUUUCCUCUUCCAGCAGACUAGCAGUCCCCAGUAGCAGCCUCAAGCUCUGCAAAAUAACCAACUUGAGAGAUGCGUUUCAUCUCAUACUACCAUUGUCUCAAAUCAGCAUUUGACAGGAAGUUACCUCUUAUUCUUCUUCUCCUGCUUAGGGAGGAGAUCAGGCAUCUCCAGGAACAGGAGUGGCAUGGUCUCAUAGUUCUUCUUAGACUUGGCCAGAGCGGAUAAGGGAUGCUCUAAUGCUUCGAUCUGCAGGUGCAGUUCCUUGCGCCAGUGUUCCGCCUCGGGUGUAUUCUUCUUACCCUCCAGGUACAUGCCCAGCAGACUGCAUAUCCCAAACACGGUCAUUAUCCAAAAGAAUUCAUGCACAAUAGACCAACAAGUAUAACUGAACAGUAAAGCUACAUUAGAUCCUAAAUGCUCACAUUUUUCUUGACAGUGCCAUUUUUUGGUACCCAUCGGUCGAUGUCCUGAUUAAACCAGCAGCAUAGGCCCCCUGUGCUAGCAGAUCCUGGUGCAGUUCAUAGUCUUUAAGCUCCUGAAAGAAAGAAAAAAACUGGAGUGUAAUUAAUGCAGAAGCAGGAACAGGAACAGAACAAAGAAGAGGCCAAUAGUCCAAUACACACCCUGGGAUCAAUUCUUGGACUCCUGGACAGUGACUCAUCCAGUUCUGCCUCAAAC
rnacentral:lncRNA from 1 species